GACGAACGCUGGCGGCGUGCUUAACACAUGCAAGUCGAACGGAAAGGCCCAGCUUUUGUGGGGUGCUCGAGUGGCGAACGGGUGAGUAACACGUGAGUAACCUGCCCUUGACUUUGGGAUAACUUCAGGAAACUGGGGCUAAUACCGGAUAGGAGCUCCUGCUGCAUGGUGGGGGUUGGAAAGUUUAGGCGGUUGGGGAUGGACUCGCGGCUUAUCAGCUUGUUGGUGGGGUAGUGGCUUACCAAGGCUUUGACGGGUGGCCGGCCUGGGAGGGUAACCGGACCAGUUGGGACUGAGAUACGGCCCAGACUCCUACGGGAGGCAGCAGUGGGGAAGAUUGCACAAUGGGCGGAAGCCUGAUGCAGCAACGCCGCGUGCCGGAUGACGGCCUUCGGGUUGUAAACCGCUUUCGCCUGUGACGAAGCGUGAGUGACGGUAAUGGGUAAAGAAGCACCGGCUAACUACGUG
rnacentral:rRNA from 1 species